CAGCCGCCGCGGUAAUACCGAGGGUGCGAGCGUUAAUCGGAUUUACUGGGCGUAAAGCGUGCGUAGGCGGCUUCUUAAGUCGGAUGUGAAAUCCCUGAGCUUAACUUAGGAAUUGCAUUCGAUACUGGGAAGCUAGAGUAUGGGAGAGGAUGGUAGAAUUCCAGGUGUAGCGGUGAAAUGCGUAGAGAUCUGGAGGAAUACCGAUGGCGAAGGCAGCCAUCUGGCCUAAUACUGACGCUGAGGUACGAAAGCAUGGGGAGCAAACAGGAUUAGAUACCCCAGUAGUCCCUGUCUCUUAUAC
rnacentral:rRNA from 1 species